GGGGCGUUCGUCUAGUGGUCAGGACACCCGUCUUUCGAACGGACAACGCGGGUUCGAGUCCCGCACGCCCUGCCA
rnacentral:tRNA from 1 species